CAGCCGCCGCGGUAAUACGGAGGGUGCAAGCGUUAAUCGGAAUUACUGGGCGUAAAGCGCACGCAGGCGGUUUGUUAAGUCAGAUGUGAAAUCCCCGAGCUUAACUUGGGAACUGCAUUUGAAACUGGCAAGCUAGAGUCUUGUAGAGGGGGGUAGAAUUCCAGGUGUAGCGGUGAAAUGCGUAGAGAUCUGAAGGAAUACCGGUGGCGAAGGCGGCCCCCUGGACAAAGACUGACGCUCAGGUGCGAAAGCGUGGGGAGCAAACAGGAUUAGAUACCCCUGUAGUCCCUGUCUCUUAUAC
rnacentral:rRNA from 1 species